UACAGAGGUCUCAAGCGUUGUUCGGAUUCAUUGGGCGUAAAGCGCACGUAGGCGGCUUUGUAAGUUAGAGGUGAAAGCCCGGGGCUCAACCCCGGAAUUGCCUUUAAGACUGCACCGCUUGAAUCCGGGAGAGGUGAGUGGAAUUCCGAGUGUAGAGGUGAAAUUCGUAGAUAUUCGGAAGAACACCAGUGGCGAAGGCGGCUCACUGGACCGGUAUUGACGCUGAGGUGCGAAAGCGUGGGGAGCAAACAGG
rnacentral:rRNA from 1 species